AUGACUUUGAUCUGCGUCCUCAUCUGGACUCUCCUCUGCUGCUGCUUCACAGAGUCCAGAGGACAGAUCACAGUGACUCAGCCUGGAGCAGUGAGCUCUGCUGUGGGAGGAACUGUGAGCAUCAAGUGUAGGACCAGUCAGGAUGUUUAUGGCUCCAGCUAUUUACACUGGUACCAACAGAAAGAUGGAGGAGUUACUAAACUGCUCAUUUAUCGUGCUAGCAAUCGACAAUCAGGGAUUCCAGCUCGUUUUACAGGCAGUGGAUCAAACUCUGACUUCACUCUGACCAUCACUGGAGUCCAGGCUGAAGAUGCAGCAGUUUAUUACUGUCAGAGUUAUCAUGUCAUCAACAGUCAGCAUGUGUUCACACAGUGAAAAACAGUCGUACAAAAACCUCCCUCAGUCAGACUGAACAGAAACUGAACUGACUGCUGCAGCUGGAAGAUACUGCAGAGACUGAUACAGUUCACUGAGGACACACAGACACACACACACACACACACAAGCUAUAGUGAAACAGUAUUUCCAACAUAAUUACUGGAUUGUCCCAUUAGCAGCAGGUUCUCUAACUAUUGCAAACAAGAGCUUAAUAACAUCUAAAACUAGACAGUAUUGUUUGAAAUGUGGAAAGAAACUGUCAUUUUAAUAAGUCACUAACUUUAAGCUGAUAUUCAUGUCUAAAGUUGCUUUAGUAGUU